rnacentral:rRNA from 1 species
UUAGAGGAAGUAAAAGUCGUAACAAGGUCUCCGUAGGUGAACCUGCGGAGGGAUCAUUACACAACAAAAUAUGAAGGUCUGGCUUCGCGGCCGGCUGAAAUAUUUUUUUCACCCAUGUCUUUUGCGCACUUGUUGUUUCCUGGGCGGGUUCGCCCGCCACCAGGACCAAACCAUAAACCUUUUUUUUUAUGCAGUUGCAAUCAGCGUCAGUAAAAACAAUGUAAUUAAUUACAACUUUCAACAACGGAUCUCUUGGUUCUGGCAUCGAUGAAGAACGCAGCGAAAUGCGAUACGUAGUGUGAAUUGCAGAAUUCAGUGAAUCAUCGAAUCUUUGAACGCACAUUGCGCCCUUUGGUAUUCCAAAGGGCAUGCCUGUUCGAGCGUCAUUUGUACCUUCAAGCUUUGCUUGGUGUUGGGCGUUUUUGUCUCCCUCUUUCUGGGAGACUCGCCUUAAAACGAUUGGCAGCCGGCCUACUGGUUUCGGAGCGCAGCACAUAAUUUGCGCUUUGUAUCAGGAGAAAAGGACGGUAAUCCAUCAAGACUCUACAUUUUUAACUUUUGACCUCGGAUCAGGUAGGGAUACCCGCUGAACUUAAGCAUAUC